UAAGUUCUCCCAGGGCGCUGCCGGAGCCCUGCCGGCUAAGGGAUGGGGAAACAAACAGGUGGGGCUGUAAUCUCGUAAUUCCCAGUCAAAAGAGGUAGGAAGGGAUGCUGAGGACCCAGGGAUACUGAUGAUUGCGCUGACCCAGAAGUGGCCAUCUUUGUGGAAACCAGGCUGGAGUGCAAUGGUGUGAUCUCAGCUCACUGCAACCUCCACCUCCAGGGUUCAAGCAAUUCUACUGCCUCAGCCUCCCGAGUAGCUGGCAUUACAGGCGCGUGCAACCACGCCCAGCUAAUUUUUUGCAUUUUUAGUAGAGACGGGGUUUCACCGUGUUGGCUAGGCUGGUCUCAAACUCCUGAUCUCAGGUCAUCUGCCUGCCUCAGCCUCCCGAAGUGCUGCAAUCACAGGCAUGAGCCACCUCGCCUGUUUUUUAAAAAGCCUAAGCCUGUUGACCCCAGGCUCCACAAUCUUCAAUUUUCCGAGCCUCAGUUUUUUUUUUCACGAGUAAAAUAGAGGUAAUACCUACCUCACAGAGAUUUUGUGAAGAUUAAAUGAAACAGUGUCUGGACCAUAAGUGCCCAAUAUAAAGUCAUCCAGAGUAAAGUCAUAGGGCUCAAAGUCUUUCCGGAAGCGGCGAGCCAGGGUCUCCUCGUCUUCCUUGCUGAUCUGACACUGCCUCCAGUCAGACUUAUCAGGAACAUUAAGGAUGGCUUCACUGGCCAGGACCUCCCUGCAGAAAUAGCACAAAGAAGUCAAAAUGGAAACUAUCAGCCUGAGCUCUCCUCAACAUCACCCAAAGAAGGGGACUCAGGCCCACAUAACAGCAGCACAAGCCCAAUGUCAACAAAAC
rnacentral:antisense_RNA from 1 species